rnacentral:misc_RNA from 1 species
CUGCAGCAGGAGGCGCCCGGCGGUGCCGCCGGCCAUGACCAGCGUGUUGGCCGCCAAACGCGACCGCCGCAGCCGGCGGAGUGUUGCGCGGCCGGGAAUCUGUUCGGUGAGGCUGGUCAUGCGCC